AAGUUGUUAGCAUUUUCCAGUAGCUAUGUUUGUGAGCAACUUUUUCAUCUUCAGAGGCGAAAGGAUAGGAUUUCCUAGGGAACAAGAAAUGAAUGGCUCGAUUUGUGUUUGUAUUUUGCUAUCCCUUUUGAUUCUUUCUCCGGCUUCUGCUUUGGCUGGAAUCUUCGAUGAUCCUAGUAUUCCGUCCUUCAAUUUUCCUUCCGACCAGGCUGAGAAGCUCAUCAGAGAGCUCAAUCUGUUUCCUAAAAGUGAUGCCAAUAUCAUCCAUCGGAGUAUCGAAAAUUCCUCUCUGAUCGCCACCGGGUCGAAGAAAAUCGUGGAGAGGCGGUUGAGAUUCCCAAUCCUUGGUGAUUCUGAGGUUUCUGUGGAGGACUUGGGCCACCAUGCUGGAUAUUACAAGAUCGAACACUCUCAUGAUGCGAGGAUGUUCUACUUUUUCUUCGAGUCCCGUAACAACAAAACAACAGAUCCUGUCGUUAUCUGGUUGACUGGAGGCCCAGGAUGCAGUAGCGAAUUGGCUAUGUUUUAUGAAAACGGUCCUUUUAAAGUUACUAAUAACUUGUCACUUGUUUGGAAUGAAUAUGGUUGGGAUAAGGUUUCAAAUCUUCUGUAUGUCGACCAACCCAUUGGGACUGGUUUUAGCUAUAGUUCUGAUAGGGAAGAUAUUCGUCAUGAUGAAAAUGGUGUUAGUAAUGACCUUUACGACUUCUUGCAGGCUUUCUUUGCAGAACACCCCGACCUUGUGGAGAACGACUUCUUCAUAACUGGAGAAUCUUAUGCUGGGCAUUAUAUUCCUGCUUUGGCUGCCCGGAUUCAUCAGGGAAACAAAGCCAAAGAAGGAACUCAUAUAAACCUUAAAGGAUUUGCUAUAGGCAAUGGGCUUACUGAUCCAGCAAUCCAAUACAAAACUUACCCAGACUAUGCAUUGGACAUGGGCAUCAUUACAAAGUCUCAACAUCGUCAUAUUAACUUGUUGGUUCCACCCUGUGAACUUGCAAUUAAUCUGUGUGGUACUGAUGGCACACUUUCUUGCAUGACUUCUUAUUUUGUUUGCAACGCCAUAUUUACCAGCAUCAUGUUGCAUGCCGGUGAUAUGAAUCACUAUGAUAUCAGGAAAAAGUGUGAAGGGAGUCUCUGCUACGACUUCUCAAAUAUGGAGAAAUUCUUGAACCUGCAAUCUGUUAGGGAAACGCUCGGAGUUGGGGACAUAGAAUUUGUUUCGUGCAGUCCUACUGUCUAUAGGGCGAUGCUGGUGGACUGGAUGAGGAACGCCGAAGUGGGUAUUCCUGCUCUACUCGAGGACGGGAUCAAGUUGCUUGUAUAUGCGGGAGAGUAUGAUUUGAUCUGCAAUUGGCUAGGCAAUUCAAGAUGGGUAAAUGCUAUGGAAUGGUCUGGUAAGGAGGAGUUCGGGAAUUCUCCGAACGUCCCUUUCCUAGUCGAUGGUUCAGAAGCAGGAUUGCUUAAACAACAUGGCCCCCUCAGUUUUCUCAAGGUUCACGACGCGGGUCACAUGGUCCCAAUGGACCAGCCGAAGGCGGCAUUAGAGAUGCUAAAGAGGUGGACUGGAGGCACGCUCUAUGACGAAUCAUUUGAAACAGGUAACAUGGUCGCUCAGAUGUGAUCCCCACCAUAUUCGGGCAACGUUACAGCAGUGUCCAUCCUAGUGGACAUCUGUAAUUCCAAGUAUGUACCUAACUUCGUAUUUUCCGGAUUUGUUUAAAUGUUCUGUCCACGAAGUUUCUUAAGCUUCAAUACACCCUGUUUUUCACUAAAUAUUUGUUAUGAAAUACAUCAUCUUUAUAAA